rnacentral:rRNA from 1 species
AUUGAACGCUGGCGGCAGGCCUAACACAUGCAAGUCGAACGAGUGGCGGACGGGUGAGUAAUGUCUGGGAAACUGCCCGAUGGAGGGGGCUAACUACUGGAAACGGUAGCUAAUACCGCAUCCCAUCGGAUGUGCCCAGAUGGGAUUAGCUAGUAGGUGGGGUAACGGCUCACCUAGGCGACGAUCCCUAGCUGGUCUGAGAGGAUGACCAGCCACACUGGAACUGAGACACGGUCCAGACUCCUACGGGAGGCAGAAGUGGGGAAUAUGGCACAAUGGGCGAAAGCCUGAUGCAGCAAUGCCGCGUGUAUGAAGAAGGCCUUCGGGUUGUAAAGUACUUUCAGCGAGGAGGCGUUACUCGCAGAAUAAGCACCGGCUAACUCCGUGCCAGCAGCGGCGGUAAUUC